rnacentral:lncRNA from 1 species
UUGCUGACUUUCUGCUCAGCCAGUGGAUCCUGCAAAGAGAGAAGUGUCCCUGGCCAUGACCCCACGCGGCACAUCAGGUUGGAUGGCAGCUAAGAUUCUGAACCGUGAAGGACUCAGUUGGCUGGAAGCUUUGCCCUCGUCAAGUGUUUACCUGGCAUCAGCAUGGAGUUGACGGCAGCGAGACACAAGAAUCUCAGUGCAAGAUGUCCCUGAGAAAAGAAGGUUGUGAAGACUGUGUACUUAUAACAGUAGGCCUAAACAAUGGGGCAAGACAGGCUGGAUUUGGGGUGAAAACAUCCCAUCACUGAGGAAAUGACACAUAUGCAGUCAUUAGCUCAGAGCCCUGCCAUGAACAUUGAUGAAAC